rnacentral:rRNA from 1 species
GUGGCGAACGGGUGAGUAACACGUGAGCAAUCUGCCCCUGACUCUGGGAUAAGCGCUGGAAACGGCGUCUAAUACCGGAUAUGAGCUGCGGCCGCAUGGUCGGCAGUUGGAAAGAUUUUUCGGUCAGGGAUGAGCUCGCGGCCUAUCAGCUUGUUGGUGAGGUAAUGGCUCACCAAGGCGUCGACGGGUAGCCGGCCUGAGAGGGUGACCGGCCACACUGGGACUGAGACACGGCCCAGACUCCUACGGGAGGCAGCAGUGGGGAAUAUUGCACAAUGGGCGGAAGCCUGAUGCAGCAACGCCGCGUGAGGGAUGACGGCCUUCGGGUUGUAAACCUCUUUUAGCAGGGAAGAAGCGAAAGUGACGGUACCUGCAGAAAAAGCGCCGGCUAACUACGUGCCAGCAGCCGCGGUAAUACGUAGGGCGCAAGCGUUAUCCGGAAUUAUUGGGCGUAAAGAGCUCGUAGGCGGUCUGUCGCGUCUGCUGUGAAAACCCGAGGCUCAACCUCGGGCCUGCAGUGGGUACGGGCAGACUAGAGUGCGGUAGGGGAGAUUGGAAUUCCUGGUGUAGCGGUGGAAUGCGCAGAUAUCAGGAGGAACACCGAUGGCGAAGGCAGAUCUCUGGGCCGUAACUGACGCUGAGGAGCGAAAGGGUGGGGAGCAAACAGGCUUAGAUACCCUGGUAGUCCACCCCGUAAACGUUGGGAACUAGUUGUGGGG